UGGCCGUGGGGCGGGGCUCCAGGAGGAAAGAGGGCGAAGGGGCUUGGGGUCGCCGCCUCGUUUCUGCGUUGUGCGACCGGUGCUACCUUCCGGAAGGCUUUUUUCCUGUCUGGUUGUGCAUCCACCUCCCUCUUUCCCAGGGUCGGGAGCAUGUGGUCCGCUCUGAGCCACGGGUGUAGCUCAGAGGACUUGAGAUCUCGAGUUCUUUAGUCUCCAGCUGAGGAAGACGCAUUUCAGUUGAGACUAGUCACAUUUCCAGUGCUGAGUGCUGAGAAGCAGGCCUUGGCCAGUGUGGCUGCAGGUGCCUGAGGAGUACAGAGUGGCAUAAGACGCAGCGGAAGAUACAGGAUCCAGUCCAGGACACUACAUUGCAUUAGUUGUUACAUCUCCACAGUCUCCACUGGUUCAUGAUAGUUUCCCAGUCUUGUUUUUCAUGACCUUGAUGGUUUUGAGCAGUACUGAAUCAGGUGGAGGAGGAACACCCUGACAUUCAUCUCCCGGGGAAUGGUCUCUCUACCCUGCAUCCACAUGGUGAAGCACUAUAGAAGAUUCUCCCCAUGGGUCAGAUUCUCUCCAGUGCCAGACUCCUCAAAGAAACGAUACCACCCAAAUCAUCUUGCAAACCACAUGGAAAAUUGAAAAGGAGAUGACUUUCUGCAUAAAAGCAAGAAAAUGGAAAAGACUGAGGCUCAUUAUAUACCUUGUUUCGGUGAUCUUUAUACAUGCAUCUUGUGCCUAUUGCUGAAGAAUGGACACCUUGAAGAGAUACUUCAUUUGAAGUGGUCAAAUGGGCAAAGGAAACAUCCUAUUGACAGCCACAAGCUUUCAUAAUUGCAUCCCCGUGACAAUGAACACAUUUCUACCAGGUCAAGCUUGCCUACCUGAUCCUGUCUUCUCAAUAUCUUCUUUGAACAACUUCAUGUGGUUGAAUUCCUGGCAGUGCAAUCAUGCUAUUUAUCAAAAGAAACACUGGACAAUCACAGUGGACUUCAGCGCUGUCUCCUGAGCCAUCAUCUGGCCAACUCUCGGCAAGAAACUUCUUUGUUCUUUAGAGACUGAGCUCUAUCCCCAAGCACUAACAGAAUCGAGAUGGAAGAAGUUGGAAUUCUUCAUCUUGGUGCUGUGACACAGUGAGGUUCCUGCUCCCAGGAAGCUGAACCCUGGCCUUGAGAUACAUGGUGGCCCUCUCAAGCUCCUCCUACUCACCCACAUCACCAUGCUUUGCGUCUCCAUCCAGAAUGUGUUCUUCGAGGACAGUAACUCCCACAGGCAAAGCAGCAUCUGGCCGUGUGGGUGAUCUAUUCUUCAGCCUCUCAAAGUUGUGUAGGAAAAUGGAACACAGAUUCUGGUUGUAGUUCAUAUACAGAUCUGAUGUCCUCUCUAGGCAAGACACUCAGUGACUUUGUAACUCCAAACCCGAUGAUGGCACCAGAGGAGCCCCGUGUAUACAAGCCUUCUCUUGGAUGGAACAAUUUCUCCUUUUCCCAGGCACACCCAGCCUGACUUUGUGGAAAGUAAUUUUGUGCCAGAUAUCAUUGUACAUUCUUUAUAAAAAUGAGUGGAAUGAGUGACAGUUAGGAAUACUGAAAAAUAUAACUUUUUAUUUUAUUAUCAUUUA